rnacentral:rRNA from 1 species
GACGAACGCUGGCGGCGUGCUUAACACAUGCAAGUCGAACGGACAGGCCCCUUUGUUGGUACUCGAGUGGCGAACGGGUGAGGAACACGUGAGUAACCUGCCCUUGCCUUCGGGACUACUUCAGGAAACGGAGGCUAAUACUGGAUAGGGAUCCUUUCUUGAUCGGCGGGGUUGGAUAGCUACGGCGGGUUUGGCUGGACUCGCUGCUUAUCUGCUUGUUGGUGGGGUUGUGGCUUACCAAGGCGUCGUAGGGUAGCCGGCCUGCGUGGGCGACCGGCCACAUUGGGACUGAGAUACGGCCCAGACGCCUACGGGGGGCAGCAGUGGGGAAUAUUGCACAAUGGGCGGAGGCCUGAUGCAGCAAGGCCGCGUGCGGGAUGACGGCCUUCGGGUUGUAAACCGCUUUCAGCAGGGGCGAUGCUUGUGGUGACGGUACCUGCAGAAGAAGCACCGGCUAACUACGUG